CGGGGUGUGGCCCAGUUGGUCUAAGGCGUCUGGUUUGGGACCAGAAGAUCGUGAGUUCAAAUCUCACCACCCCGA
rnacentral:tRNA from 2 species